ACGCCAUCACAGAGGCCUCCUAGCAACGGCACACCAGCCUGGGCUGGGAGAGGAGGCUGCCAUGGACCAGCAGGGCGUCACCAUCACCACCGCAGGAAAACCAACCCGGAAGACGUCAUCUUUUGAAAGAGAAGGAUGGUGGCGAGUAGCAUUAACAAAUACUCCUAUACCUGGCACGUACCACCUGAAAACUUUCCUUGAAGAAGCUUUGUUAAAUCCAGUGACAGCAACAUACAAUUUUAAAAAUGAAGGAAGGAAAAAGCUACCUCUUGUGCAAAGAAACAAUCCAGUCCUGAAUGAUCUUCCACAGUACAUGCCUCCUGAUUUCCUGGACCUGUUAAAGAAGCAAGUAGCCACUUACUCAUUCAAAGACAGGCCUCGGCCCAGCCCCAGCAUGCUAGUUGAUAAAGAUAAGGCUCUUCGGCUUUGCCCCGGGCAGUACGAGGUGCUUCCUGCACCAGUUCCCAAGUACCCUUCCAGGAGCUUCAUAUUUCGUUCUGCGGUUCAAAGAUUUCCAACGGGCUGCUUCAUACCUGCUCGGCCAGGCCCAGGAGGAUUAGGGUCUGUGGUGAUCCACUUCGCAGACUCCUUGCAGUUGGUGUUUCUCACAGUUGUGUGCAAAGCAAAAAUGAGACACACACACCUUUCCUAACCACGAGAACAAACCUUCAAAAGUCAAAUAAUAGGCUGAUGCAAUGGUGCAACGGCAUGAAGGACCAGGACCAGGCCAUUAUGACUUGAAAACACCACCAGCAACUUGCAUUACCUCUUGUUUUCAAUCCAGAGUCCCUCGGUUC